CACUUAUGCAGCAAAAGAACAGCCAUUUGAGAAUGAAAAAAUAUGUACGCUUGGAUUUGAUUGUCAUGCUGAUUUUUUUCUGGCACCACUGGAAGGCACAGAGCAACUGAUUACACAAGAAAUUGAGAUAUUUGCAGUGAAUGAGACACACAAUGAACAUGAAGAACCUUGCCUUUCUCCCUUUCAGACUUUAUGCAAUUUAUUACAAGUUAGCAUCAAUGAUACAGAUAUCCUUAGCUGUACAGA
rnacentral:lncRNA from 1 species